rnacentral:misc_RNA from 1 species
AUGUUCGCUUUUGAGGUCAGCUUUUCAGGCCAAAGUCGGACGCCGCCUUGGUGGCGAACGUCGUAUCGACCAUGUCUUCGUAGGGAAGUAUCUUCUUGAGCGUGCCCGCGCCGCUUUCGUGCUUCAUGAUCGCAUCCCAGUCUUCCCUGGUGAUGACCGGAUUGCGUGGCACCACGUUCUUCGUGGUCAUGAAGUUNCUUCGCGCCGAGCUUGACGACAUCGGGCGCGACGGUUGGAAAUUCCAACCGGCUGACUUCCUCGAAGGUGUUCGGAUCGGUGUGCAGCAGCUUCAUCGCUUCCGCGAGCGCGUUAGUGAAUUUCUGAACCGUUUCGCCAUUGCUCUUGAG